rnacentral:lncRNA from 1 species
CCUUUGGGGGAGUUUAUUUCCCGGUCAGAAAAGGAGAAGCAGGUUCAGGCUCCUGGGCGUUCUAGGCCCCGUCCUGACGGGGAGGGGGGUGGGGCACGGGGAAGGUAGGGGAGGGGAGGCACAGGGGAGGGCUCCGACUGUGCGCGCUUGGUCCCACGGUUGUCCUGGCUGGGUGUGGGGAGGGCCUGCCGGGGACGGUGGCACCGAGCCUGGGGGCAGAGGUGGCAGGCCAGGGGGCCCAGAGGACGGCACGUAUGGAGGCAAUAAAUACUGACGGGCCAGGCACGCGACCCCGGGCCGGCAGGCCCGGGUGGGACACAUAAGGCUCGGCCGCUGGCUCUGUCCGGCGAGGGCUGUCUGCUGGGGCCAUGGGCUCCAGCGCCGCCCACCGGGACAAAGAAGGCAGAGGCGUGAGGACACCCGGCCUCCCGGAUGGGAACGGAGGCAACUUCAGUUUUGGCAAUUUGGCUUUCCCAGAGCCCCUGGAGCCGGCCCCACAGCCCUGGCCGGGGGAGGGGGCCGGCUAGGCCCUGGCGGGCAGGGGAGCAGCAGCACAUCCCACACACUUCCCGGGGCCACGGGGAUCGCAGAUGGGGCGGGGACCGGGGAGACCACAUGCUCAUGCAGACACGGGGGGGGGGGGGGGGGGGGGGGGGGGGGGGGUUAGAGGUUAGUGACGGCCCCCACAGCACACGUUCCACAUGUUAAGGCAUCAUGGUUAGACGGUUACUGACAGCGAUGGAUGAACUGACCGGGGACAGGUGAAAGCAGGAGGGUGGCCGGCCCCCAAGAGGCCUCCAAUCAUGCACCCCACCCCACCCCACCCCACCCCCGAAGAACAGGAUUCAGGGCAACUGCCAAGGCCACGAG